rnacentral:rRNA from 1 species
CGGACGGGUGAGUAACACGUGGAUAACCUACCUAUAAGACUGGGAUAACUUCGGGAAACCGGAGCUAAUACCGGAUAAUAUAUUGAACCGCAUGGUUCAAUAGUGAAAGACGGUUUUGCUGUCACUUAUAGAUGGAUCCGCGCUGCAUUAGCUAGUUGGUAAGGUAACGGCUUACAAAGGCAACGAUGCGUAGCCGACCUGAGAGGGUGAUCGGCCACACUGGAACUGAGACACGGUCCAGACUCCUACGGGAGGCAGCAGAA